GGCCACACUGAAGACAUCCACUGUGCGCUCGGUCCCUGCUUGCUGUAGCAGCUGUUCCAUAGCCAAGAAGGUGCCCAGCUGGGCCAACUGCUCCUGAGAAUGAUGACCUGAGAGUAGAUGAAGAGGAUGAAGUUGCCAGGGGUCUCACAGUCGGCAUUUGCUCCACCCCAAUCAACGUUGUAUCCCGUGAGACUCACAGGAGGCGAUGCUGUUCUGAUUAUAGUCAGGAGAGGGCAGCAGAGAGCCAGUCUCAUCCUUGAUGGCCUGCUUCAGGAGCUGGGAAAGAGAUGGAUGGACAUGGUGAUUCUCAGAAUCCUUUACCAACUCCCAACUUGCCCACCUGCCCCAAGAUCGGGGAGGAGGGCACUCCUGCGAGGAGGACAUAUGCCACCUGGUGGUGAUUCUGGGAAGCUGCAGGGCACUCACCCGCCCAUUCUCCAUGCCCACAGUUAGCAUGAUGAUCACGUGGACUUGCUGCUCCCACACCAGCCGCCAGAAGUCCUCGAGCGUCUUUUUGAGAGGCCCCUGGGUGGCAAUGAUCUCCUGUGGGUGGCUAUAGCCCUAAGGUGUGGGUGCAGGGUAGGGGCAUGUUACCAGAGAGUGUCUUGGCCAGCCGGGCCCAUCAAACAUUUAGCAGUGGUUAUGAUCAUCUAUGACCUACAGGAACUGUGGUCCUGGAGGGUGACCUGAAGGACACUGCCACCACCCACGUCCCACUCGGAACAGGUGAGAAAAACAUGUGUGGGAAUGUAAGAUUCCCGACAUGCUAGAAACAGUCUACCCAGCCCCUCCCCACUAACCCUGGAGUAACUUUGCUUUCUAGAGACAGUGAUUUAUAAUGUACCCCAGGCUGUCCUCGAACUCCCAAUUCUCUUGACUCAGUUUCCCAUAUGCUGGAAUUACAGGUGUCUGCUGUC
rnacentral:lncRNA from 1 species